rnacentral:rRNA from 1 species
AUUGAACGCUGGCGGCAUGCUUUACACAUGCAAGUCGAGCGGCAGCACGGGGGCAACCCUGGUGGCGAGUGGCGAACGGGUGAGUAAUACAUCGGAACGUGCCCAGUCGUGGGGGAUAACGUAGCGAAAGCUACGCUAAUACCGCAUACGAUCUACGGAUGAAAGCGGGGGAUCGCAAGACCUCGCGCGAUUGGAGCGGCCGAUGGCAGAUUAGGUAGUUGGUGGGGUAAAGGCUCACCAAGCCGACGAUCUGUAGCUGGUCUGAGAGGACGACCAGCCACACUGGGACUGAGACACGGCCCAGACUCCUACGGGAGGCAGCAGUGGGGAAUUUUGGACAAUGGGCGCAAGCCUGAUCCAGCCAUUCCGCGUGCAGGAUGAAGGCCUCCGGGUUGUAAACUGCUUUUGUACGGAACGAAACGGCCUUUUCUAAUACAAGAGGCUAAUGACGGUACCGUAAGAAUAAGCACCGGCUAACUACGUGCCAGCAGCCGCGGUAAU